CAGCCGAAGCCUUUCAGAUACAGUAUCAUCAUGUAUACCGCGCUUUUGUUUCUUGCUUUGUUCUCGUGCUUUUCUCUCAUAGCGGGAAAGUCGCUUGAAGCAAUUCACAGCAUUCCUGGAUGGAAAUUCAACUCACUGUCCUCAUCCCUUCAAAAAAGUGACUCGUCGGGGGAUCAGUGUGUCUUACUGUCCAGCUUCAGUCAAAUUCCACGUCUCUUGUCCAAUAUACACCAAAGUCCUCACAUGUUGUUGCACAAAUUCCACCAAAAAUCCAGUUUAUAACACAACCCUGCCAUCUGGAGAUAUGUCUUCCUCUGCCAUCAAAACUGAUUCAUCAGUGAGGAUACACUAUUGUGCCAUUGCUGUUGCUGUCACGUUUGCCUUAACCCUCGUCAUCUUGGCUUUCCUCAUCUGCAGGACAAACAGCAGUGCAAAAUAUGCUCCUACAAGAGCCUCAGCUGAUGGACAAAACCAGCCUUGUUCAGUAUAAUUAUCCUAAGGAGGCAUCUGAACUUGCACUAGAAACACAUGGCGUGGAGUCAUGACAACACAUUAUCCGAUAAUGUAACAUGUAUUAUAUUAUAUUAUAUUAUAUUAUAUUAUAUUAUAUUAUAUUAUAUUAUAUUAUAUUAGAGAAAACAUAAGCACU
ensembl:lncRNA